CCUACGGGCGACAGCAGUGAGGAAUAUUGGUCAAUGGGCGCGAGCCUGAACCAGCCAAGUCGCGUGAGGGAUGAAGGUUCUAUGGAUCGUAAACCUCUUUUAUAAGGGAAUAAAGUGUGGGACGUGUCCUAUUUUGUAUGUACCUUAUGAAUAAGGAUCGGCUAACUCCGUGCCAGCAGCCGCGGUAAUACGGAGGGUCCGAGCGUUAUCCGGAUUUAUUGGGUUUAAAGGGUGCGUAGGCGGCACUUUAAGUCAGCGGUGAAAGUCUGUGGCUCAACCAUAGAAGUGCCGUUGAAACUGGGGGGCUUGAGUAUGUGUGAGGCAGGCGGAAUGCGUGGUGUAGCGGUGAAAUGCUUAGAUAUCACGCAGAACCCCGAUUGCGAAGGCAGCCUGCCAAGCCAUGACUGACGCUGAUGCACGAAAGCGUGGGGAUCAAACAGGAUUAGAUACCCCUGUAGUC
rnacentral:rRNA from 1 species